GGACAAAAUCAAGCUCCAUCACAGAUUCUGUUGGUUUGGUCUGAAUACCACUCCGCCGCCAUCCUGUUUGAAAGUCUCCCAAAUUAUGUGCUGGCCUUCCUGAUUCUGUUUUCUACUUCCUUGAUGAUCCUGUGACAUUUCCUUAGUGGUCCCCACCUACGUUGAGGAAGAGUUUGUACAAGCGCUUAAGCAGGGUGUCCUGUCCUUAUUUGAAGAUCUCAGCAGGCAACCCCAGAAUUGAUGGUCACCUCUGCUCACAACAGCUGGAUGAGGGGACCUGCGUAGGAACUUAAAGGUGUAUCUGUUGCCAGAUCUCCAUGAGUUGGAUUCCUUGGUGUCUUUGGAAUUUGCAAGGAUGCCCCUCUGUGCAUGCAAGAACCAAAGGAACGAGAAAACAGA